GCCCCGCCCCCGCCCCGAGCCCGCGCCAGCGCCGGCGGGACCCGAGCUGCUAAUGCCUCCAAUCAACAGAUCAGACAGCUUGUACUCACAGGCCAAGGACACGUGGAAAGAGGCUCAAUUUUCUAGAUGGGUGGCAACAGCCAUGAUCUUCUGUCCUCUGGGUCCCCACAAGCCUGGAUGAACUCAAGAUCUGACUCAGUGGCACAGUGAGGAGACCUUUGAGGCCUCAGUGACCAUCCUUGGACUUCACCUCUCACGGCUUUCAGGCAGAGAGGCCCUCCCAUGCCCACAACAGGCUGAGCCCAGCCUUCCUCGGGGUUUGCUUCCAGGCCUGACUUUUACUCCCCUUUCUAAGUGUGCUCCCGGGAAUGCUGUCUACUUGUUGCGAUUUUACUCCCGUGGCCUGUGCUAGCUGCCUGCUUGGCCGUUGGGACUGAAGGGAUGCUCAUCCACUUGGCACACUGACUGCAAGCCUGGCACCGGCCUUGCCUUUGUUCUCCCAUGAGUCCUCUUGAAGGCAACCCACUUGUGGUAGGAGGCGUAGAGUCCAGCAGGGCUCUUGCCCCUUUUGCCCUCCUGAAUCAUGGAGGAAGAGCUCGGUUCCUCGUCCAUACAGUGGGAAAAACAAAUGAGCAGUUACCUUGGGCAGAGUCCACAGUCCAGCCUGCUUGGCUGCCCGGGGGGAGGUGCCGACUGCAGAAGGCGUGGGCCCUUCCAGGUGUGGACUCGGCCCCUGGGCAGUGCGACCUGUGGCCUCCUUACCAAUGAAGAGGAGUGGAAAAGAUGCUCUCUCUGCUGCUCACGGCAGCCUCAGCCCACACAGGCUGCUGGCAUUUCUGUGCUAUUAAAUAAUUAACUUGGUAC
ensembl:lncRNA B3GAT1-DT B3GAT1 divergent transcript